AGAUCAAUCAAUAUACAUCCCCAUCAACUCAAAUUAAAUUGAAACCUCUCAACUGAAUCUUUCUACUCCCACCAUAAUCGGUCACAUAUCUCCACUCCUAUCAAAUUUGAUAAACCUAGAUGCAUCUUGUUAUUUUUCCACCGCCCCCACUAAAAAAGAUUAACGAAAUUCAGAUACGAAGUUGCAUCUCUUCCCAAAAGAGAGCGCAGAGAAGAUGAUGUUGGAUACAAUAAUUUUAUCCACACAUAAAACCAUAUUUUUUAAUCGAUGUUUAGACGAUAUUUUUUAUUUAAUUUUGAUUUUGACCGGUAAUCUCAGUUGCUUCAAUUUUUUAAUCGAUGUUUAGACGAUAUUUUUUAUUUAAUUUUAUACGGUUUUCAGUUUGUUCUCAAUGGCUAAAAGACGUUGUAUUUUGAAAUCACCGGCGACUGACAGCGCAGAAACUUUUGGAAUGCAGGUAACAAGUGUCCAAAGGGAGGAAGCAAUUAGUAUGAGACUGGAGAUGACGAUGGUGAAAAUUUGCAGCAAAGACAAAAGGACAUAAAAUGACUAUAUUUCAAGAAUUCUCUUGAAAAUUUUGCGAGCCUGAUUGCAACAAUUUGAAAAUAUGUUUCCUAAUUUUAAUGGAAUAUGCUCUGAUUGAAACACCCGGGGAUGGCUCAAACCAAUGAUUUAGAGUUUUAUAGACUACGUGUCUAAUGUCACCGAGUAUAAUUGUAAUUUUGUAGUGGAAUCGUGAUAUUUUUAUGAUCCAUUAUUUUGGACUAGUAGAAUGUCUUUUAA